rnacentral:rRNA from 1 species
UACGUAGGGGGCAAGCGUUGUCCGGAAUCAUUGGGCGUAAAGCGCGUGUAGGCGGCCCAGUAAGUCCGCUCUGAAAGCCCGGGGCUUAACCCCGGGAGGCGGGUGGAUACUGCUGGGCUUGAGUCCGGAAGAGGCGAGUGGAAUUCCCGGUGUAGCGGUGAAAUGCGCAGAUAUCGGGAGGAACACCAAUGGCGAAGGCAGCUCGCUGGGACGUGACUGACGCUGAGACGCGAAAGCGUGGGGAGCAAACAGG